CGCACGGGUGAGUAAUACAUCGGAACGUGUCUUCUAGUGGGGGAUAACUGCCCGAAAGGGCAGCUAAUACCGCAUGAGACCUGAGGGUGAAAGCGGGGGAUCGCAAGACCUCGCGCUGGAAGAGCGGCCGAUGUCCGAUUAGCUAGUUGGUGAGGUAAAGGCUCACCAAGGCGACGAUCGGUAGCUGGUCUGAGAGGACGACCAGCCACACUGGGACUGAGACACGGCCCAGACUCCUACGGGAGGCAGCAGUGGGGAAUUUUGGACAAUGGGGGCAACCCUGAUCCAGCCAUGCCGCGUGCAGGAUGAAGGUCUUCGGAUUGUAAACUGCUUUUGUCAGGGACGAAAAGGGAUGCGAUAACACCGUAUUCCGCUGACGGUACCUGAAGAAUAAGCACCGGCUAACUACGUGCCAGCAGCCGCGGUAAUACGUAGGGUGCAAGCGUUAAUCGGAAUUACUGGGCGUAAAGCGUGCGCAGGCGGUUCUGUAAGAUAGAUGUGAAAUCCCCGGGCUCAACCUGGGAAUUGCAUAUAUGACUGCAGGACUUGAGUUUGUCAGAGGAGGGUGGAAUUCCACGUGUAGCAGUGAAAUGCGUAGAUAUGUGGAAGAACACCGAUGGCGAAGGCAGCCUUCUGGGACAUGACUGACGCUCAUGCACGAAAGCGUGGGGAGCAA
rnacentral:rRNA from 2 species